rnacentral:rRNA from 2 species
GGAUUAGUGGCGAACGGGUGAGUAACACGUGAGUAACCUGCCCUUAACUCUGGGAUAAGCCUGGGAAACUGGGUCUAAUACCGGAUAUGACUGAUCAUCGCAUGGUGGUUGGUGGAAAGCUUUAUGUGGUUUUGGAUGGACUCCCGGCCUAUCAGCUUGUUGGUGAGGUAAUGGCUUACCAAGGCGACCACGGGUAACCGGCCUGAAAGGGUGACCGGCCACACUGGGACUGAAACACGGCCCAAACUCCUACGGGAGGCAGCAGUGGGGAAUAUUGCACAAUGGGCGCAAGCCUGAUGCAGCGACCCCCCGUGAGGGAUGACGGCCUUCGGGUUGUAAACCUCUUUCAGUAGGGAAAAAGCGAAAGUGACGGUACCUGCAGAAAAAGCGCCGGCUAACUACGUGCCAGCAGCCGCGGUAAUACGUAAGGCGCAAGCGUUAUCCGGAAUUAUUGGGCGUAAAGAGCUCGUAAGCGGUUUGUCCCGUCUGCCGUGAAAGUCCGGGGCUCCACUCCGGAUCUGCGGUGGGUACGGGCAGACUAGAGUGAUGUAGGGGAGACUGGAAUUCCUGGUGUAGCGGUGAAAUGCGCAGAUAUCAGGAGGAACACCGAUGGCGAAGGGAGGUCUCUGGGCAUUAACUGACGCUGAAGAACGAAAGCAUGGGGAGCGAACAGGAUUAGAUACCCUGGUAGUCCAUGCCGUAAACGUUGGGCACUAAGUGUGGGGGGACAUUCCACGUUUUCCGCGCCGUAGCUAACGCAUUAAGUGCCCCGCCUGGGGAGUACGGCCGCAAGGCUAAAACUCAAAGGAAUUGACGGGGGCCCGCACAAGCGGCGGAGCAUGCGGAUUAAUUCGAUGCAACGCGA